rnacentral:rRNA from 1 species
UGGGGAAUCUUGCCCAAUGGGCGCAAGCCUGAGGCAGCGACGCCGCGUGCGGGAUGACGGCCUUCGGGUUGUAAACCGCUUUCAGCGGGGACGAAGCGAUGAGUGACGGUACCCGCAGAAGAAGCCCCGGCCAACUACGUGCCAGCAGCCGCGGUAAUACGUAGGGGGCGAGCGUUAUCCGGAUUUAUUGGGCGUAAAGAGCUCGUAGGCGGCUGUCCGUGUCGGGUGUGAAAUCCCAAGGCUUAACUUUGGGUCUGCAUUCGAGACUGGGUGGCUUGAGUCUGGUAGGGGGGUCUGGAAUUCCUGGUGUAGCGGUGGAAUGCGCAGAUAUCAGGAGGAACACCGGUGGCGAAGGCGGGGCCCUGGGCCAGUACUGACGCUGAGGAGCGAAAGCGUGGGGAGCAAACAG